UGGGUUUGUUGGCUCAGGAACCCAAUCUGCAUGAUCUUGUUUAUAGCCAGCUACAAACAUUUUGCAGCGUUUUACUAAACGUUUGUGAAGUGUUGUCAUAUAAAACAUCUCUUAUGAUACUUACAGAAGUCCCGAGGUAGACAGAAGACUUACCUAGUAUACUCUUUUUAUGGACAAGAAAACGGAGAAAGUUUAAAGAGACUUGACCCAGCUUAACAAAAGAGACCCUCAACUGGCUCUGAGAAAGCAAGCUAUCAUCUUGUGAAAUGCCCUGUGGAAAAGCCCAUGUAGCAAAGGACAGCCAAUAGCCAACAGAAAGCUGAUGCCCUCAGUCCAACAGCCUGCAAGAAACUGAAUUCUGCCAGCAACCAUGUGAGAUUGGAAGCAGAUUCUUCCGUGCAGUCUUGUGAGAGAUUAUGAAGCAAAGGACUCAAGUUGUGCCCAGAUUCCUGACCCACAGAUACCGUGUGAUAAUAAAUGCAUAUUGUCUUAAACCA
rnacentral:lncRNA from 1 species